rnacentral:rRNA from 1 species
UAGGGAAUCUUCCACAAUGGACGCAAGUCUGAUGGAGCAACGCCGCGUGAGUGAAGAAGGUUUUCGGAUCGUAAAGCUCUGUUGUUGGUGAAGAAGGAUAGAGGUAGUAACUGGCCUUUAUUUGACGGUAAUCAACCAGAAAGUCACGGCUAACUACGUGCCAGCAGCCGCGGUAAUACGUAGGUGGCAAGCGUUGUCCGGAUUUAUUGGGCGUAAAGCAAGCGCAGGCGGAAGAAUAAGUCUGAUGUGAAAGCCCUCGGCUUAACCGGGGAACUGCAUCGGAAACUGUUUUUCUUGAGUGCAGAAGAGGAGAGUGGAAUUCCAUGUGUAGCGGUGGAAUGCGUAGAUAUAUGGAAGAACACCAGUGGCGAAGGCGACUCUCUGGUCUGCAACUGACGCUGAGGCUCGAAAGCAUGGGUAGCGAACAGG